rnacentral:lncRNA from 1 species
GCUCUGAAUGCAGAAAAGCGUUGUGUGGCCUAUAAGGGAGCUGGCAGGCUUGUGAGUUCGUCCGUGUCCGUGUAUGUUUCUUUGUUAUGUGUAGUGAGUUGUGUCUGGUGCAAGGGUGUGUGUGCCCACGUGUUCCGAGGCCAACCACAGAAGGGUGCCCUCCAUCCCCAGGAGGCUGUGAGUCUGCGUCCUGGGGGCUGGGGGGCAGCUAGAAGGCCACGAAGCUGUCCAGAGUCUCACUUCCUCUCAUCCUCUCUCCCCCACCCCCUUCACUGAAGAGAAGACAUCCCCUUUCCUCCGCGAGGUGCAGGUCGGCCUCAUCGACUUCAAGAAGUGCAACGACUACUUGAUCUAUGACAGUUACCUUACCCCGAGGAUGAUGUGUGCUGGGGACCUUCGAGGAGGCAGAGACUCCUGCCAGGGAGACAGCGGGGGGCCCCUGGUCUGCGAGCAGAACAACCGCUGGUACCUGGCGGGAGUCACCAGCUGGGGCACGGGCUGUGGCCAGAGAAACAAACCCGGUGUUUACACCAAAGUGACAGAAGUCCUUCCCUGGAUAUACAGCAAGAUGGAGAAUGAGGUGCGCUUCCGGAAAUCCUAAGCAGCUGUCCUACUCUUCCACUCAGCUCUGGCUGCUGGAAAGACUCUGCCAAAGUGACUGGGCCAUUGGCAACAUCAUCUGGGCUAAAGGCCACCAGACACCUUUGUUACUGCCACCUCCACUGUCUGCUGCUUCUGUGAAUAUGCACGUGUGUGUGUGCGCGCGUGCGUGCAUGUGUGUGCGUGCGUGUGUGUGCACGUGUGUGUGUGUGUGCGUGCGUGUGUGUGUGCGUGUGUGUGCUGCUGUUCUCCCAAGGUCUUAAGAAACCAGGAGAACUGUUAGCUCUUCCCAAAGCCCAGGCUGGAAAUCACCUGGAGAUAACAGUCUGGGCACCGCGGAGGUCCCUACAGGAGUGUCCGUGAUGGAUGGAGGAGGCAGAGCCCAGGGAAGGGCCUGAAGCUCACCUGGGAAUUCCUGCUCCUCUGACCUGGACUUGGAAACUAGCCCAGAAUGGGCAGCCACCUGGCAGCCCAGGUGACACCACUGCUGUCCAGGGAUGAUAGCACUUUUCGCUGGGGUGCCUGGACUAUCUCUAGCGGCAAGAUGUUCUGUGGGCAUUGCGAGCAUCCCGCUGUCUCUCAGGCCUCCCGCGGGUGCCGUGGAUGUGGAGAGCGGCCGCGCCGCGGGUGUCCGUGCUGCCAGCUGUGACCAGGCCUCACUGUUCUUGUUUGGUCACAGGCUGGUGGGGGCGGAUUUCCUUUUAUUUUAUUUUUAUAUUGAGGAAAUGGAAGUAGAUGUAUUUUUAAAGAUUCUCCAGAAUUCCAGGAGCGAGGAGAACUAGCAUCAAGUCCCCCAAGAACUCCAAGGGACUUAUGGAGGUUGCGUGGCUCGAGCGUCCUGCAGAAUGUCCUGGUCUCAAGGGACCAGAUAAAGGGGCCCCUUUGAGAUACUCAGGGAAGUGAAUCCUCACUGGGGCCGGUGGGCAAACUCAAAGAGAACCACAGCUGUUGCUGCAUCCAAGGGCUCCGAGCAGAGCAUGAAGAAGUCUGUGGGCCCCCGGAGCCUGGGAAAAUGCAGGCAGACACGCAUCCUCAUACCCAGCGCUGUCCUGGGACCUGGGAGUUUCUUCUCAGCUUCCUCCACCUUCCAAUUUCUCAGUUGUUCUAGAAACAUAGCACUGACGUGAAAACUGCCAUGGAGAGAAAGCUGCCACUGUCCCCAGGCCUUCCAAACAGGCUUUCUGAAGGAUCCGAGUUGCCCUGCUCCUGCAAGCCAUCUGUGUGCCUGGCCUCCAUGCCAGCUGAAGGCCCGGACCUCCCCCAGGGGCAUCCAUUCCUCCCUCAGUCCCAUCAUCCUCACCUUCCCUGGGCCUGUCUGAUGAUGCCAUGACUCCCAGAGGCAGGGUCCACGCAGAUGAGCCCAGCCCAGCCCAGGCAGGCAGCUACUCAGUAGGAGGAUUGCCCUGGAGGAGCAGGCUGGAGUUGGCUAGCGUGGCUGGGCAGAGUCUGAGGGGUCUGGCUACAUGUUGUCAAGGCUGGGGGUCGGGGAGGGCAACAUGCAUGUCCACAGCAGCCCCCAGCAACAGUCUUUAGCAAUUAAAGUUGCG